rnacentral:tRNA from 1 species
GCGCCCGUGGCCAAGUCCGGAUAUGGCACCGGCCUCCUAAGCCGGUGAGCGCGGGUUCAAAUCCCGCCGGGCGCG